rnacentral:rRNA from 1 species
UACGUAGGGUGCAAGCGUUGUCCGGAAUUAUUGGGCGUAAAGAGCUCGUAGGCGGUCUGUUGCGUCGGCUGUGAAAACCCGGGGCUCAACCCCGGGCCUGCAGCCGAUACGAGCAGACUAGAGUUCGGCAGGGGAGACUGGAAUUCCUGGUGUAGCGGUGAAAUGCGCAGAUAUCAGGAGGAACACCGGUGGCGAAGGCGGGUCUCUGGGCCGAAACUGACGCUGAGGAGCGAAAGCGUGGGGAGCGAACAGG